ACACAGAGCCCCGGGGAACACCGGAGAGAGAGAGAGCCAGCAGACACAACCACACCACCGCAUUCUGACUGAAUGCUGCUGUGGGUUCGAUGUUAUGGUGGAACCAGGAACUGUUUCAUCAGGGAUAUUAACACCCGGCUUCUUUGAUGAGUAGCAGAGUGGAGAAGACAGAGAAUGCAGGUACAGCAUAAUCAGGAGUCCUCAGGCGAGAGAGAGACAGAAAGAGAGAGAGCGAGAGAGAGGGGGGAUUGAGGGGGAUUUUGUGCGGAUCUAGUAAGAGCGAGUGAAUGUGAUGCUCCGACAUCAGAUGUGCUGAAAUAGCCUUUGGCAUGGGAUCUGCUGAUGCAAAUCUUUCCUCCAGCGGAGGGACGGACGGACUGUGUGAUAUCACAAGGACAAGAUUUAUGGCCCUUGUCGCGGCGGGAUUGGAUGUCGGCCCGCUUCACGUCUGGGUCAGUGCAGAGAACACGGGAGCCCCAUACGUGACCAGGAGCGACCAGGACGUCAUGCACGGCCGACCGCUUGGCAUGUGGUCGCGUCUCGGGACACGUUCACCGGCGUCUGAGUCCUGCUGAGGCCAGCUCAGGUUCACAUGAGGACAGGGAGAUCGCUUCAAGGUGGGGUGAGGGUGGAGGUGGAG
ensembl:lncRNA